rnacentral:sRNA from 1 species
CCUUGUUCUUCUUCUUCGUUCUCU